rnacentral:rRNA from 1 species
CUGCCUGCCCAGUGACUAUAUGUUCAACGGCCGCGGUAUUCUGACCGUGCGAAGGUAGCGUAAUCACUUGUCUUUUAAAUAAAGACUGGUAUGAAUGGCCUCACGAGAGCCUUACUGUCUCCCUUAUUUAAUCAGUGAAAUUGAUCUUCCCGUGCAGAAGCGGGAAUUUUACCAUAAGACGAGAAGACCCCAUGGAGCUUAAAACUAAAAACCAUCUGCUUAAACAUUCCUCCUACGGGGUCACUUUUAACCUUGCAGACAAUGGUCUAAAUUUUCGGUUGGGGUGACCACGGAGAAAAAUAAAUCCUCCUUGAUGAAUAAUUCAUUUAAACCACGAGCCACCGCUCUAAGUAUUAGAACUUCUAACUAAAUUGAUCCAAUAAUUUUGAUCAACGGACCAAGUUACCCUGGGGAUAACAGCGCAAUCCAUUUCAAGAGUCCAUAUCGACAAAUGGGUUUACGACCUCGAUGUUGGAUCAGGGUAUCCCAGUGGUGCAGCCGCUACUAAAGGUUCGUUUGUUCAACGAUUAAAACCCU